GCUGUUCUCAACUUGUGGGUUACAACCCCUUUGGCAAAAUUCUAUCUCCAAAAAAUAUUUACCUUAUAACUCAUAACAGUAGCAGAAUUACAGUUAUGAAGUAGCAAGAAAAAUAAUUUUGUGAUUGGGGUCCCCACAACAUGAGGAACUGUAUUAAAGAGUCCCAGUAUUAGAAAGGUUGAGAACUACUUGGUACCAGAAGGUGAGGUCUCCCCCAGCAAGGUGGGUGGGCUCACUCGGUUCCAGUCACCCAGGCUAGCACUGGCUGCCCCAGGGCACAGGCACUGAGUGGCGCUCAGCGGGGACCGGGAUCGUGACCCUGGCUGGCGUGGGUAGGUGUUCCAGCACUUGGCACCAGCGCGCCUAAGAGGUCGCGGCUCCACCGCCGGCCACGCGCGCUGUGAACACGAGCUCUGGCGCGCGCACUGCCCGGCAGUCCGCAGCGCCCGCCCGGAGGGCGAGGGCGCGUUCGCUCUGGGCGCGCUCGGGCCAGGCCCGCCUACCCUGGUUUUGCUUUUCGCUUUCGCUUUGCAGCUUCUCUACAGAGAAACAAAGGGGCCGCGACGACUGGAGAUGCGGCCGCGGUCAGGGGAGCCGAGCGGCCUGAACCCCGGGCCCGGGCCGGCAGGCAAGAUGGCAGCAUGUCCUGGGCCUCCUUGUGAUAUCAAGAAGCUGGACAGCUGAGAAAGAAGAAAAUGGACUCCCUCCUUCUGAAGACUUGCUUGAAAGCCAGCCACGAGUCUCUGGAAUCAAUCCUGAUGACUUAGUGACAGGAGCUUUGUCACAGAGCCAUCUCUGCAGCCCUCAUAAAUGCUUCUUAGAGAGGACAACAGGAGGGCCUAGUGCCAACCUAUAUCUAUGUUUUCUGGUACAGGUGCCCAUGGAAUUUAAAGGAGUGCCUCGGAUCCCCUGGAACUGGAGUUAUAAGCAGUCAAACCUGGGCCCUCUGCAGGAGUAGGAAAUGCUCUUACCUGCUGAGCCAUCUUUCGAGCUCUGACUUGAGGCAUCUCAGUGGAUCGGCUUCUUCAGUAUAUUUGAAACUUCUGGUGCCUGGAUCUCUCCCUGACCCCAAAGAUUCCAAAGAGAUUGAUGUGAGUUAAAAUAAAUAAAUACAAAGUUUGUAUUAAAGGAUGACAUAAACAACAACAAAAAAGCACAAGGCAUAUAUAUAAAUCGAUCUUAUUUCCUCAAGUGAACUCAGCCUUUUGAGUAACCAGCAUUUGAGAUGACUAUCAC
rnacentral:lncRNA from 1 species